UGUUUCGGCUAGGGGGUCAUCCCGACUUACCAACCCGAUGCAAACUACGAAUACCGAAGAAUGUUAUCACGGGAGACACACGGCGGGUGCUAACGUCCGUCGUGAAGAGGGAAACAACCCAGACCGCCAGCUAAGGUCCCAAAGUCAUGGUUAAGUGGGAAACGAUGUGGGAAGGCACAGACAGCCAGGAUGUUGGCUUAGAAGCAGCCAUCAUUUAAAGAAAGCGUAAUAGCUCACUGGUCGAGUCGGCCUGCGCGGAAGAUGUAACGGGGCUAAACCAUGCACCGAAGCUGCGGCAGCGACACUAUGUGUUGUUGGGUAGGGGAGCGUUCUGUAAGCCUGCGAAGGUGUGCUGUGAGGCAUGCUGGAGGUAUCAGAAGUGCGAAUGCUGACAUAAGUAACGAUAAAGCGGGUGAAAAGCCCGCUCGCCGGAAGACCAAGGGUUCCUGUCCAACGUUAAUCGGGGCAGGGUGAGUCGACCCCUAAGGCGAGGCCGAAAGGCGUAGUCGAUGGGAAACAGGUUAAUAUUCCUGUACUUGGUGUUACUGCGAAGGGGGGACGGAGAAGGCUAUGUUAGCCGGGCGACGGUUGUCCCGGUUUAAGCAUGUAGGCUGGUUGUCCAGGCAAAUCCGGAUAAUCAAGGCUGAGGUGUGAUGACGAGGCACUACGGUGCUGAAGUAACAAAUGCCCUGCUUCCAGGAAAAGCCUCUAAGCAUCAGGUAACAUUAAAUCGUACCCCAAACCGACACAGGUGGUCAGGUAGAGAAUACCAAGGCGCUUGAGAGAACUCGGGUGAAGGAACUAGGCAAAAUGGUGCCGUAACUUCGGGAGAAGGCACGCUGGUGUGUAGGUGAAGUCCCUGCGG
rnacentral:rRNA from 1 species